rnacentral:lncRNA from 1 species
UUUAGCAUAUUAAUUUAUUGCAGUAUAUGUUGAAAGGUGCAAACAUCAGAACCAUGUACUGAAAUGUAGGUCAAAAUGGUAUGUACUCUGCCGUUAUCUCUCUGCACAUAACACUGGCACAGCCUUGGCUGUGUGCUGGUGCUUGGCACAUUGAUAUGCCAGUGGUUGGCAUGUCUAUGUGCCAGUGCAUGCCAGGCAUCGGCACAACAUCACAUGGCAUGAUACAUAUCCUGCCAAUGCC